GGAGUUGUGGCUCAGUGGUACAGAGUGCUCGCCUAGCAUGUGUGAAGCCCUGGGUUCAAUCCUCAGCACUACA
rnacentral:tRNA from 1 species